CUGUUGAGCAGCCAGUGUGCGGACUAUCCGCAGAGGAUUGACUCAAGACCGAGUCGAGUGGCAUAGAUGGCUAAGGUAUGAGCAACCUUAGGAAAGAAUCGCCAAUGAGCGUAAUGUGACCAAGUAAAGACUAGAGAAAAGCUAAUGAUAAAGAAUAGCUAAUAAAGUAUAGAUCGGCUACAAGUAAAGAAUGGCUAAUAAUAUGAAGUAGAAUCAAUUAAUCUACUUGCAUAAAGUUACAGGUAUUGCAUAUUGCAUUUCGGGAGACAUGACAUUUAGUUCAAUAUCGAAUAUAUGUCUGUUAUAUGUUAUUGGACUAACUUGUUGCAGUGCCUCCUUGGACCUAUUGGUCGAGCUUUUCCCUUGGGUGGCCGUACCCACUGGGAACCAUGGAGUUGGUUCUCACCCCACGUUGUUUUGGGGUGUUACAGGUUUGCACGUGAGCGGCGCAGCGGCGCGAGGCAAGGGCGUAGCUUCGUAGAUAGCGCCCUACCCAGAGACCAGAGAUAGUGGUACCCCGAGUCGGCAUAGCCUAAGGGUAGAGGAAAAUGAAAGAAUAAGAUGUAUCAUAUGUGUAAUAAAUUAUAAUAACUCGGAUUGUAUGUUGGAGAAAGUGUAAUUGUGAUGUAAGCAAAUGUAUCAAUGUGAAUGCUUGUAAUAACAUAGGAUGUGUUUAUGUUGUUGAUACCUUUACAUAUGCAAUCUGUAUGUUGAUUUCUGUUCCUGGUUGGAACAUCAUGAAUUGUAUUGAUUACGCCGCCUAGGACGUACAGGGGAAACUCUAUCCGUUCGGCGGUCUGUCGGCGUGCCCGAAUCUGACCAAAUAGGCGGGUGUCGGGGCGUGACAGAUAAGGUGGUAUCAAAGCAUAAAGUAGAGAAUGGGAUGGCUUAAGCGAACCUAGGAGACCCUAGGAUAGUAAAACCAUAGAGGUUAAGGCAAGUGAGAGACGAGGACAUGUGACUUGUGGCGAAAGGAUUAUGGAUUUGGACGUGUUAUAAACCUCUAAGACGGAUAUUAGAGGUAGAUUCGAGGUGUGGUUUAUUCUCAGCCGAGGGUAUUCAUGUUCGGCAUACGACAACAUGAAACUUAGUGAUGAGAAUAGACGCCCUCGCGUGACUUUCGCCUGAUUGGCUUUCGAGCCGGUGUUAGUGGUCUCGUGUUCGACCCAAGUUGGUCGAGAACUAAUCGAGUUGUCGUGUUUCAGGAAGCGAUGGCACCGCGUAGGCGAUCUUCGUCCAGAUCGGCGCGGGAGGGGACAAGUGGUGUUCCCGAGCAAGUCGACGCGAGCGAAGGCGUAGAGCUUCGUGAUAAGUUGGCCACACUCGUAGGAGUGAUGAGGCAACAGGCUGAUGUGGUGCAGCGGCAGCAGGAGGCUGCUGUGCGCCAGAAGGAGCGAAUGAAAAGACUCCAAGAAACGGUGGAUCGGCUGGUGGCAGCUCGUCAAGAACGGCUGGGAGCCGCGACGGAGACGUUUCCAUCGGGGUUGGGUGACCCGACCCCUAUUAGUCCAGAGGUGGAGGCGGAGAGGGAACGAGCUAUGGCGGCCCUUAUGACCUUCAAAAAGUUUGAUCCGCCUACCUUUGAUGGAGAGGAUACAGAUCCGUGGAUCGUAGAGAUGUGGAUUGAUUCCAUGGAAACACUAUUCGAGGAUUUAUACACGUUGGAGCGGGACAAGGUAAACCUAGUCGUGCACUGUCUGAAACAGUCGGCGAAGGUGUGGUGGAAAGGCGUUAAGCGAGAUCGAUCGCCUGGUCUCCCUCCUAUGACUUAGGAAGAAUUUCGGGGAUUGGUGUUCUCGGCCUAUUUCCCUGACAAUGAAAAGCGAAAGCUUAAGAAAAGGUUCCAAAAGCUGCGGCAAGGAGAUCGCUCAGUGAGGCAAUAUGAGCGGAAAUUUUUCCGUAUCGUGCAUUGUGUCCCGAAUGUGGUAUGGGAUGACAAGGACAAAGCUGAAUGCUUUGCACGGGGACUUCAACCGGAUAUUUUCAAGGCUGUGCAUGAUCUUAAAUUGCAGACUUUUGCCGAAGCCUUAGAUCGAGCCUUGUGGAUAGAACAAGGCGAAGCAUCGGUGCGGGAGGAGCGCGAGGCAAAGUACGAGGAAAAAGAAAAAGGAUGACCAACGAGUGGAUCCGGUGGUCAGUCAAGUUCCCGACGAACUUCAAUGAGUUCGCGCUCGCGGUCCCGAGCUCCGGGGACAUACCGUGUUCGGUCCUCGGCGAGAUGUAUUAUUUGUGGGGGCCCUCAUUUUCCACAGCAGUGUGAGCAGCAUUAGGGCAAGUGCUUCAAGUGUGGGCUGCCGGGUCAUUUGCGGGACGACUGUCCGCAAGGCGAUAACCCGGCCUUGAUGCUGGUGACGGCCCAUUCCUCUCUGGGACAGCCUGCAGGUGUGCCACUUGCGGCAUGGUCGGGAGAGCGACCGUUGAGGAUGGUGCAACCGGAGGGUUCGCGGCGAGCGCCAAGUGGCUAUUGAUACGCGACCCGAGUGGUAGAACCUGCCGCUGCUGACGACGUCAUGGCAGGUAUGAGUUAAUUAAGCAAGUAUAUGCUGCUAUUUGAUAUCAAGUUAAUGCAUAGCAUGCAUUUUAUUGAAUGGUCGGUUGCUACUAAUUAUGCAUUGCAUAGUAGGGACCCAUAGGGCGAGUAUAGGUAGAUACCCGAGCAUGCUUAUGCGGUGAGAGUGUGGCGCCUACUAGAGCAGGUAGAGAGCCAACUGGUACCAGCAGAUGGCUAGUAAGGAUUUUUGCACGAGGAGUGAGACUCGUGGUGAAUGCGAAGUGGUGAAGCGACUCUCAAAGCAAUGGAUAUUAGAUUGCGAGAGUUGCACCGUGACAUUAUGGAUACCCAAGUAGUCCGAGUGAUUCGGAUGUCGUUCCGGUAGAUCGAGCAGUGAAAGUAGAAUCACUGUUGAGUGAAUAGCCGGUUAAUGGCCGAGUACGGGCAUGUGAGACCUAGUAGUACCUCAAAUUUAGGUAGGUAAGUUGUGCCUAUGUCGUUAGUGCGCUUAGGCAAAGUUGCCUAAUGCUUGACGUAGUUGGGACGUAGUAGAGGCAUAUAGAGCGCUCGAGUAUAGGUACUCGAGGGUGUCGUUGAGAAUCAGCUGGGAGAGUGUUGGCAGUAGCACUGUAGCAUUGCUAAGUGUGAAGCGGGCCAUGGAUCACUCGUGGGGCUAGUGGCUCGCACUAGGUGCUUAGGAGCCGAUAGUGGUGUUUGUAGCUUGUCGGAGCAUGUCGUGUAGGACGACGACGGCCGGUAUUGCUUAGGGACGACCCGUUCCUGGACCACAUGUGGACUGUAGAGCCUGGGCCCGUUGGGCAGGCGCAGUUAGCUGUGUGGAGCAGCGGCCCGGUUGUGGGGCAGAGUUUGGUCAGGGCGGUAGUCCGAGCUGAGACCCGAGAGCGUGGGAUGCCACGUGUUGGAACAUGUGAUUGGUGACACACAGAGUGUGUAGUGACCCAACACAAGGACUGGAUGCGGAUUGGGGUCUCGAUAGCUCCUGAUUGGAGUGUGUGCGAAUUCCCAAGUGAGAAUUUCGCCCGAGAAUGUUGAUUGGGUCUGUGUUGCGAGCGAGAGACACUACGCAUGAUUGAGACAGGUUUAGGCCAUAGGCCUUUGUGGAAUUGGCGGUCUAUCGACCACCCAUGGAAACCGAUGAGCGGUAUGACCGAUAAUUUCAUGGAGGAGUUGGUGUAAGGAAGUGAAUUCUCGAAAUGCGAGAGUUGAACUUCGCUCAAGAUCGACUAAUUAUCGAGUAGGAGCACUUCGUAAAGGCCGAAGAAGUCAAAUGCACUAAAAGUGCAUUGCAAUGGAGUCCGCGAGAGCAAAUGGUGCAAGAAUUUGCACUUGGCAGAUUUGCUCUCGGGGACCGGUCCCUGGCGGGAGGGACCGGUCCCUGGCGGGAGGGACCGGUUCCCGAACGUGGUCUGCGCGAGCAUGCUCUCGGGGACCGGUCUCAAGAGGAAGGGACCGGUUGCCCCGAGGUGGAGGGUUGCGCAGCACGGGGCAACCGGUCCCAGGUAGGGCAAGACCGGUCCCCGAGUAUGAAUUUUGCCCAGGCAGGCUAGGUCAUGUUAGAGAAGUUGGAGAACUUGAGGAUAAUGCUCUUUUGUGGAUUGAGAUUCGUGAUGCGCCGGAGUAGGCCAUCUCUCAAUAGAGCAAAGAUCCGGAUGUGAUUGGGGCACUUGCGAUUGGUCGAUGCACCGGUAAUAUUGCUUCUAAGCAAUGAUGGUGAUCGAAUCAGAAUACCCUAAGGGGGAAAGUAAAUGCAAGGAAAAGUUCUUGCAUACCAGGUUGUGAAUGGUGUUGGAGCGCGUAGAGUCGUUGAGUUUCGACUUGCGCUACCACCAAGAAUAACGGAGACCGUAAUGCACUUUGCGAGAUGCACCUUGCGAAGUUGUACGAGUUUGGUAUUGUACUCUCCGUAUUGGGCCUCUUGGAUAGUUCCAAAGAGUGUAAAGCCAUUCCGAAGUGGAAAAGUGUAUUGGUGCCCUCAAUUGCUCGAGGAGCUGAAUUGAGGUGCGGUUUGAGUUUCGCGGACGAAACUCUUUUAAAGGAGGGAAGAAUGUAACAUACCGAACUUCUAAAACAUUGAAGUUACGGUGUACAUUUGGUUGGAAAGCCAUUUGAAUGAUCCCGAUGAAGUUCGGUGAAGUUCUGGAGCAUUCGUGCAUUUCGGUGCGCGUAGGCGCGAAAACGAAACCCGAAAGGCUAUGUUGGACCGUGAGCUAAAUCCAAUACUAGAGUGGAUGAAAAGAUGAUGAAAACAUGUUUGAAAACAUGUUUGGAGAGUCUCGGUUCGAUUUGAAAAGAAUCGGAGGUCAAACGAGCGAAAACGAGCGAAAACGGAGCGAAAACGGACGAAGGCUGAGAAUGCUGAAAAAUUGGCUAAGUCUGGAGAUUUGGUCCUUCGGGGACCGGUCUCUCACUGCCUGGGACCGGUCCCAGAGACCCGAAAAUGCCCAGUUCGGGCUGUUGCAAGAGAGGCAUUGUUGAGGGGCUUAUGUGCAAUUGCUGCAUAGGUUAAGUGUAUAGAGAGGGUUAGAACACCUCUCUCUCUCUCUUUCCCUCACCGUAACACCCCAAAAUCCACCCCUCUCUCUCUCUAAACAAAAAAGAAGAAGAGAAGAAGAAAAGGAAAAAGAAGAAGAGAAGAAGAAGAAGAAGGAGAAGAAGGUCAAGAAAGGGAUCCUCGUCGUCUCCUUCCUCUUCCUUGUGUUUGGUGAAGCUUGGAGAGGUAAGCUUUGUAACCCUACAAUGGUAGAUCUCUAGAGUUUGAUUCUAAUGCUCUAGAAAUGGAUUUAGCAGCAUUCCUAGAUGCUAAUUAGGUGUUUAUUGCAUGAAUCGAAGAUCGAUUUGGUAGUUUUUGCAAUUGUAGCAUCUAGGGCAUCCAAAGUGGGAUUUUUGUAAAUAGAUGAGUUUGAUCUCAUUUGACCCUUCGUAAACCUAAUUGGUAGGUAACGAAACACGUUGGCGAAGUCGGUUCGGCACAUAACCGAAGACCUAUAAUUUCCGGGGCUGCGAAGCGAAGCACGGUUGUGGUGCAGUCGCAAUAUUGGGCCGUGCCGGAUACGGGUGCCGCGGGAGGCCGAUUGCAAGUGUCGACAAACAAUCGGAACACGAGUUAAGGUGGGUUGUGUUUACCGAAGCGACUAGGUCGCCUAUAUGUCUAAGUUAAAUGUUUAUCAUUGAUGCAUGUAGUGUUUGCUAUUGAUAGAGCAUGUGUAUGUAUAAGAUGAAUGCUAAGCUAGGCUACCAACGAUGCAAAAUGACAUAGUAUAAACAAUGCUAAGUGGAAAGCAUAAAGUAAAUGACACAUGUUAGUCAUGUUGCAUGUGUAGAAAUGUAAUGUAAGAAUGCAUAUAGAUAUGAAAUAAGAAUGUAAAGAUGUUAAGUAUAUGACAUGUGCAUGUGGAUAUAUAUAUACACAUAGAUCGAGUGGCAUUGAACCUAGUGUCAUGAACCUAGGAAAGAUUGAGUGGCAUCGAACCUAGUGUUAAUAAACAUAGGUUGAACGAGAAUGACAAUGGACCUAGUGUCAAGGACAUAGGUUGAACAAGAGUGAUAAUGAACCUAGUGUUAAUGAAUAUAGGUUAACGAGAAAGGCAUUAAACCUAAUAUUAGAGAACAUAGGUUGUGAGAUAAAGGUAAGAACCUAGAGUCAAGUGAAUCUAGGUAGACGAGAAUAAUAGACCUAGUGUUAAUAAACCUAGGCUAAGAGUAUGGAAGCAAUGAACCUAAAGUAUUAACUUAGAUUGAGUAAAAGCUUGAACCUAGAUAGGUCAAUUUCAUAGGGUUAAGACCAACCCUUGAGUACUGUGAAAUGGAUUCCAGAAUCCCAGAACUUGUGGAACACCAAGAGUGGUGCGGGCUGUGUGCGACGAUUUCGCCGCCCGAGGCUAAAGAACCAUUGUCGUGGCGUGUGCGACGAUUUCGCCGCCGGAUGGUUGAGCCAGUUUGUGGAUCAUGCCGCAGGGUGACUUGAUCCAUAGCUGAGCGUGUGCGACGAUUUCGCCGCCGGGUGGCCGAGUCAUCGAGUGCGAUGGGCUGUUGAGCAGCCAGUGUGCGUACUAUCCGCAGAGGAUUGACUCAAGACCGAGUCGAGUGGCAUAGAUGGCUAAGCUAUGAGCAACCUUAGGAAUGAAUCGCCAAUGAGCGUAAUGUAACCAAGUAAAGACUAAAGAAAAGCUAAUGGUAAAGAAUAGCUAAUAAAGUAAAGAUCAGCUACAAGUAAAGAAUGGCUAAUAAUAUGAAGUAGAAUCAAUUAAUCUACUUGCAUAAAGUUACAGGUAUUGCAUACUGCAUUUCGCGAGGCAUGACAUUUAGUUCAAUAUCGAAUAUAUAUCUGUUAUAUGUUAUUGGACUAACUUGUUGUAGUGCCUCCUUGGACCUAUUGGUCGAGCUUUUCCUUGGGUGGCCGUACCCACUGGGAACCAUGGAGUUGGUUCUCACCCCACGUUGUUUUGGGGUGUUACAGGUUUGCACGUGAGCGGCGCUGCGGCGCGAGGCAAGGGCGUAGCUCCGUAGAUAGCGCCCUACCCAGAGACUAGAGAUAGUGGUACCCCGAGUCGGCAUAGCCUAAGGGUAGAGGAAAAUGAAAGAACAAGAUUUAUCAAAUGUGUAAUAAAUUGUAAUAACGCAGAUUGUAUGUUGGAGAAAGUGUAAUUGUGAUGUAAGCAAAUGUAUCAAUGUGAAUGCUUGUAAUAACAUAGGAUGUGUUUAUGUUGUUGAUACCUUUCCAUAUGCAAUCUGUAUGUUGAUUUCUGUUCCUGGUUGGAAUAUCGUGAAUUGUAUUGAUUGCGAUGCCUAGGACGUACAGGGAAAAUUCUGUCCGUUAGGCGGUCUGUCGGCGUGCCCGAAU
rnacentral:lncRNA from 1 species